rnacentral:rRNA from 1 species
UUGACAUCCAGCGAACUUUCCAGAGAUGGAUUGGUGCCUUCGGGAACGCUGAGACAGGUGCUGCAUGGCUGUCGUCAGCUCGUGUUGUGAAAUGUUGGGUUAAGUCCCGNAACGAGCGCAACCCUUUAUCCUUUGUUGCCAGCGAUUCGGUCGGGAACUCAAAGGAGACUGCCGGUGAUAAACCGGAGGAAGGUGGGGAUGACGUCAAGUCAUCAUGGCCCUUACGAGUAGGGCUACACACGUGCUACAAUGGCGCAUACAAAGAGAAGCGACCUCGCGAGAGCAAGCGGACCUCAUAAAGUGCGUCGUAGUCCGGAUCGGAGUCUGCAACUCGACUCCGUGAAGUCGGAAUCGCUAGUAAUCGUGGAUCAGAAUGCCACGGUGAAUACGUUCCCGGGCCUUGUACACACCGCCCGUCACACCAUGGGAGUGGGUUGCAAAAGAAGUAGGUAGCUUAACCUUCGGGAGGGCGCUUACCACUUUGUGAUUCAUGACUGGGGUGAAGUCGUAACAAGGUAAGCGUAGCGAG